rnacentral:rRNA from 1 species
CUCGCGAGAGCAAGCGGACCUCAUAAAGUGCGUCGUAGUCCGGAUUGGAGUCUGCAACUCGACUCCAUGAAGUCGGAAUCGCUAGUAAUCGUGGAUCAGAAUGCCACGGUGAAUACGUUCCCGGGCCUUGUACACACCGCCCGUCACACCAUGGGAGUGGGUUGCAAAAGAAGUAGGUAGCUUAACCUUCGGGAGGGCGCUUACCACUUUGUGAUUCAUGACUGGGGUGAAGUCGUAACAAGGUAACCGUAGGGGAACCUGCGGUUGGAUCACCUCCUUACCUUAAAGAA